CGAAUGGGGGAACCCAGUACACAUCAGUGUAUUGCUUGUCAGUGAAUACAUAGCUGGCCGGCGGCAGACGCGGGGAACUGAAACAUCUCAGUACCCGCAGGAAGAGAAAGAAAACUCGAUUCCCAUAGUAGCGGCGAGCGAAGUGGGAAGAGCCCAAACCGAGAAGCUUGCUUCUCGGGGUUGUAGGACUGGACAUUGGAGUUACCAAAGUCCGACGUAGUCGAAGUCAGCUGGAAAGCUGCGCCACAGAAGGUGAAAGCCCUGUAAGCGAAACGUCGAACCCUCCGUCCAGGAUCCUGAGUACGGCGGAACACGUGAAAUUCCGUCGGAAUCCGGGAGGACCAUCUCCCAAGGCUAAAUACUCCCUAGUGACCGAUAGUGAACCAGUACCGUGAGGGAAAGGUGAAAAGUACCCCGGAAGGGGAGUGAAACAGUUCCUGAAACCGUGUGCCUACAAUUAGUCAAAGCCCGUUAAUGGGUAAUGGCGUGCCUUUUGUAGAAUGAACCGGCGAGUUACGUUUGCUUGCGAGGUUAAGAUGAAAAGUCGGAGCCAUAGCGAAAGCGAGUCUGAACAGGGCGAAUGAGUAAGCAGAUGUAGACCCGAAACCAAGUGACCUACCCAUGACCAGGUUGAAGGUGUGGUGAAACACACUGGAGGACCGAACCCAUGUAUGUUGAAAAAUGCUGGGAUGAGUUGUGGGU
rnacentral:rRNA from 2 species